rnacentral:rRNA from 1 species
GAUGAACGCUGGCGGCGUGCUUAACACAUGCAAGUCGAACGGUGAAGGCGGAGCUUGCUCUGCUGGAUCAGUGGCGAACGGGUGAGUAACACGUGAGCAAUCUGCCCCUGACUCUGGGAUAAGCGCUGGAAACGGCGUCUAAUACUGGAUACGAGCUGCGAAGGCAUCUUCAGCAGCUGGAAAGAAUUUCGGUCAGGGAUGAGCUCGCGGCCUAUCAGCUUGUUGGUGAGGUAACGGCUCACCAAGGCGUCGACGGGUAGCCGGCCUGAGAGGAUGACCGGCCACACUGGGACUGAGACACGGCCCAGACUCCUACGGGAGGCAGCAGUGGGGAAUAUUGCACAAUGGGCGAAAGCCUGAUGCAGCAACGCCGCGUGAGGGACGACGGCCUUCGGGUUGUAACCUACUUUAGCGUAGGAAGAAGCGAACGUAGACGGUACGUGCAGAAAAGCGCCGGCUACGUAACGU